CACAAAAGCAAAGCUCGAACCGCCAUUGAGCAAGUUGCAGUGUAGACGACCACUUUGUUACAGGAAGACGUACAAUUAUUAUUCCUACCCACGUAAAGAUGUAUGCAUCCGAUGCUACUAACGUACAGGUACAGUACAAUACUGGAGUACCCUUUUUUGUACAUCAUUUUUUUUUGGGUGUUGAGACAAAACCUUUUUGUCGCAGCGUGUGUACCAGCAACAAAUGGGCCUACGCAGGCUCGGCCCAUACUUCUCCCCCACCAAGCCCAAGCGCCCCCACCGGAAAGGAAUGACAGCUCAGCCCGGCCCAUUCUGCAACCGACGACGAACCGACUUUUAUUCUCUUGUGGGCCAUCGGCCCGGUAGCAGUUUACGCGGGCCCAUCAGAUGGCUCUCGCGUCCCAAACAGCAGCAGCAACCAGCAAGGCGGAUUCGGCGAGCCGCCGGCGACGAUGCCUUCGCGGCGGCCGGAGAAGCUGUAUGCGCCCGCGACGUCGCCGGAGCGACCGACCGCCGAGGUUCCCACCGCCGCGGAUCCCGCCGGAGAGCACCAAAGGAGGAGAUCUCUACACACAAACCUACAGCAUACAGGUGAAGGAAGAGCGAUGGGUACUUCGCAAGCAGAUAGAGAGGAAUCUGUCGAACAAUCUCCUUUUAAAUUUGCAGCAAAGGCACAGGAAUAGAAUAUCCAAAGGGAAUCCUUUAUGAUCUGGAAAAGAUCAAAAGAGCUGGAAAAAGUGAGCCAAAGAACCAAACCUUGCAAUGGAGGUGCACACCUGGAUAUUUGCAACAGUAUAUCUGAAGAUUUGUGAUGCUCCAUUGCUGAAACUACAGGACCUCUCUGAGCUCUUCUGCCACUCACUUGUCAAUGGGCCCUUCGUAGCAUACUGGGCUCACUUGUCAGUGACUGUCCUUAGGCGCAUCAUGCGUUCAGCCCUGCACAACAGCUGAUGGAUGAUUCUUCUUCUGGUCGGAUGCAUGUUAUCCAUUGGCAUCAGAAAUAAUUCUUCUUGUUUACAUGCAAUGUUAUCCGUUGGCAUCACAGAGAAUUUCUUCUUGCUCCAUGCAUGUUAUCUACUGGCACCACAAAGAAGCAGAGAUGUGACCUCCAGAGUCUACUCUGAUCAUCUCAUUCACAGAGUUUGCCACACACCCAACCUGCAUAUAUAUAUAGGGGUUAUCUCCUCCUGCAUUUCACAGCAACCACAGCCAAAGCAAAUCUUUGAGCAAGCUAGGCAAAACUUAGACCCCAAAAGAAAAAAAUGGAGGCAAAUCUCAAGAACAGUGCUAGAGGAGGGGCCAAGGGGAAGGUGGUGACAGUAUACUCCAAGUAUGUCAAACCCCAGAGCAGCCCUUCUGUAAGUGUCACACAGGCCUACUCCUACCAGCCAAACUACUCUUCCUCCAUUGAUGUAGCUGCAGCUGCAAACGGCUCCUAUGGUGGCGGCAACGUCGACGAGAGGGCGACGGCUUACAUCUUGGCCGUCAGAGAGCGUUUCAAGAAAGAAUGGAUGUAGGAAGAUUGUGUCAGGAUCCAUUCCAGAAGAGGUUUAUAUUUGCAAGAAUGUCUUCUGGGUAGCCAUGCCUAUGCUUGCAUGGAUGUAGGUAGUAGCUCCUUACUAUGUCAUGCUUUCCCAUGUUCUUCCUUCUCUUUUUCUGUCAAACUACAGUUUGAUUGGAUGAGUGUAAGGGAUGAAUAACAGCUUCUGUUUCUGAAACCUGGUUGUCGUUUUGACUCUCCAGAAUAUUUACCUUGCUGGUUUGAAGAGCUAUUUUAAGUAGAA